GGACCCGCACAAGCGGUGGAGUAUGUGGUUUAAUUCGAUGCAACGCGAAAAACCUUACCAGGGUUUGAAAUCAUUUCAAAACUCCUUGAAAGAGGAGCCUCCUUCGGGAUGAAAUGACAGGUGGUGCAUGGCUGUCGUCAGCUCGUGUUGUGAAAUGUCGAGUUAAGUCUCGUAACGAGCGCAACCCAUGUCUCUUGUUGCUCUUUGAGUGCUUAAGAGAGACUGCCGACCAACAUCGGAGGAAGGUGUGGAUGAUGUCAAGUCAGCAUGCCCCUUACAUCCUGGGCUACACACGUACUACAAUGGUAAGGACAAUGAGCUGCAAGCCUGCGAAGGUUAGCCAAUCUCAAAAACCUUAUCUCAGUUCGGAUUGCACUCUGCAACUCGAGUGCAUGAAGGUGGAAUCGCUAGUAA
rnacentral:rRNA from 1 species